CCUUGGCACCUUGAAUUAAUCAAGAUUAAUGAACUGGCCCUGUGAAUAGUGACAGCAUCUGAAGGACUAUGGUGUAGGCUCUCAAUGAAUGCCAGUUGAAUUCAAUUUCAAUAAUUGUCCCAUUAAUUGAAUGACACAAGUCCUGAGAAAGGCAGCUUAUCUAUCUGGCUCAUGACUACAACAGCUGUGAAAGGAUAGGAAGGCCCUUGGUGGAUGCCUUAAAGACAGUAAAAUGGACGUCACACUCAGAUUUUCAACAAGUCUCUACUACUGCUGCUGCUAAGUCACUUCAGUCGUGUCCGACUCUGUGUGACCCCAGAGACGGCAGCCCACCAGGCUCCCCCAUCCCUGGGAUUCUCCAGGCAAGAACACUGGAGUGGGUUGCCAUUUCCUUCUCCAAUGCAUGAAAGUGAAAAGUGAAAGUGAAGUCACUCAGUCAUGUCUGACUCUCAGCGACCCCAUGGACUGCAGCCUACCCGGCUCCUCCGUCCAUGGGAUUUUCCAAGCAAGAGUACUGGAGUGGGGUGUCAACAAGUCUCUGGAGUCCGACAAAUCUAGCUGGCAACCGGCUGAAAAAGCGGCAGUUUUCAGCUGCAAGAGGCAUAAUUCCUGUCCCACGGUGAUUCCAAAGGCACAGUCAUAAAUGACUAAGAUGAAACAAACAAAGCGGUGGAAAGUCUUCAGCGUGGCUAAGCUAACAUCAACUCAAAGACUGAAAGGCAGCACCCCCCUCCCAACAUUUCCACUAUGCAUGCUUCUAUUCCUUUUAUAUAAGUGACAAAACUACAAAGGUUCAAACAGUGUUGCAAGUUACUAGCUUCUCCUUAUUAGUUUACCCUGUAUUCAUUUUAGAAAUGAAGAUCCUUCAACCAAAAAAUUAAAUACAUAGGAUUUGUAUAAGGUUGAGCAAAAUUUAUAUUUAAUUAAAGUACAUAAAAUAUUCUGUUUGUUUCUUGUGUGAAACAUAGUGAUUUGACAUUUGUAUACAUUGUGAAAUGAUCACCACAGUAAGUAUAGUUGCUAUCAGUUAUCACACAGAGUCAAUAUAAUAUUAUUGACUGCAUUCCCCAUGCUGUACAUUACAUCCCCAUGACUUAUUUUAUAACUGGAAGUCUGUAACUUUUGAUCCGCUUCACCUAUUUGUCCUCUUCCAACCACUUUUAUUGGGGUUCCCUGAUGGCUCAGCUGGUAAAGAAUCCACCUGCAAUGCAAGAGACCCCGGUUUGAUUCCUGGGUCAGGAAGAUCUGCUGGAGAAGGGAUAGGCUACUCACUCCAGUAUUUUGGGGUUUCCCUGGUAGCUCAGCUGAUUAAGAAUCUGUCUGCAAUGUGGGGGACCUGGGUUCAAUCCCUGGGUUGGAAAGAUCCCCUGGCGAAGGGAUUGGCUGCCUGCUCCAGUAUCCUGGCCUGGAGAAUUUCAUGAAUCCUGGAAAAGGGAACAGCUACCCACUCCAGUGUUCUGGCCUGGAGAAUUCCAUGGACUGUAUAGUCCAUGGAGUUGCAAAGAGUCGGGCAUGACUGAGUGACUUUCACUUUCAACCGCUUUUAUCAGACUUAUUUCAUUUAGCGUAAUACCCUCAACGUCCAACUAUAUAAUAAAUGGCAAAACUUUUCCUUUUUUAUGGCUGAG
rnacentral:lncRNA from 1 species